rnacentral:rRNA from 1 species
AGAGUUUGAUCAUGGCUCAGAUUGAACGCUGGCGGAAUGCUUUACACAUGCAAGUCGAACGGCAGCACGGGAGCUUGCUCCUGGUGGCGAGUGGCGAACGGGUGAGUAAUGCGUCGGAACGUGCCGAGUAAUGGGGGAUAACGCGGCGAAAGUCGCGCUAAUACCGCAUACGCCCUGAGGGGGAAAGCGGGGGAUCGCAAGACCUCGCGUUAUUCGAGCGGCCGACGUCUGAUUAGCUAGUUGGUGGGGUAAAGGCCCACCAAGGCGACGAUCAGUAGCGGGUCUGAGAGGAUGAUCCGCCACACUGGGACUGAGACACGGCCCAGACUCCUACGGGAGGCAGCAGUGGGGAAUUUUGGACAAUGGGGGCAACCCUGAUCCAGCCAUUCCGCGUGAGUGAAGAAGGCCUUCGGGUUGUAAAGCUCUUUCAGCUGGAACGAAACGGUGCGCUCUAACAUAGCGUGCUAAUGACGGUACCAGCAGAAGAAGCACCGGCUAACUACGUGCCAGCAGCCGCGGUAAUACGUAGGGUGCGAGCGUUAAUCGGAAUUACUGGGCGUAAAGCGUGCGCAGGCGGAUUGUUAAGCAAGACGUGAAAUCCCCGGGCUUAACCUGGGAAUGGCGUUUUGAACUGGCAGUCUAGAGUGCGUCAGAGGGGGGUGGAAUUCCACGUGUAGCAGUGAAAUGCGUAGAGAUGUGGAGGAACACCGAUGGCGAAAGCAGCCCCCUGGGAUGACACUGACGCUCAUGUACGAAAGCGUGGGUAGCAAACAGGAUUAGAUACCCUGGUAGUCCACGCCCUAAACGAUGUCAACUGGUUGUUGGGGGAGUGAAAUCCCUUUAGUAACGAAGCUAACGCGCGAAGUUGACCGCCUGGGGAGUACGGUCGCAAGAUUAAAACUCAAAGGAAUUGACGGGGACCCGCACAAGCGGUGGAUGAUGUGGAUUAAUUCGAUGCAACGCGAAAAACCUUACCUACCCUUGACAUGUCCGGAAUCCUGCAGAGAUGCGGGAGUGCCCGAAAGGGAAUCGGAACACAGGUGCUGCAUGGCUGUCGUCAGCUCGUGUCGUGAGAUGUUGGGUUAAGUCCCGCAACGAGCGCAACCCUUAUCAUUAGUUGCUACGCAAGGGCACUCUAAUGAGACUGCCGGUGACAAACCGGAGGAAGGUGGGGAUGACGUCAAGUCCUCAUGGCCCUUAUGGGUAGGGCUUCACACGUCAUACAAUGGUCGGUACAGAGGGUUGCCAAGCCGCGAGGUGGAGCCAAUCCCAGAAAGCCGAUCGUAGUCCGGAUUGUUCUCUGCAACUCGAGAGCAUGAAGUCGGAAUCGCUAGUAAUCGCGGAUCAGCAUGUCGCGGUGAAUACGUUCCCGGGUCUUGUACACACCGCCCGUCAAGCCAUGGAAGCUGGGGGUACCUGAAGUCGGUGACCGUAAGGAGCUGCCUAGGGUAAAACUAGUAACUGGGGCUAAGUCGUAACAAGGUAACCGUA